rnacentral:rRNA from 1 species
UCGAGGGGCAGCAUGGUCUUAGCUUGCUAAGGCCGAUGGCGACCGGCGCACGGGUGAGUAACACGUAUCCAACCUGCCGUCUACUCUUGGACAGCCUUCUGAAAGGAAGAUUAAUACAAGAUGGCAUCAUGAGUCCGCAUGUUCACAUGAUUAAAGGUAUUCCGGUAGACGAUGGGGAUGCGUUCCAUUAGAUAGUAGGCGGGGUAACGGCCCACCUAGUCUUCGAUGGAUAGGGGUUCUGAGAGGAAGGUCCCCCACAUUGGAACUGAGACACGGUCCAAACUCCUACGGGAGGCAGCAGUGAGGAAUAUUGGUCAAUGGGCGAGAGCCUGAACCAGCCAAGUAGCGUGAAGGAUGACUGCCCUAUGGGUUGUAAACUUCUUUUAUAAAGGAAUAAAGUCGGGUAUGGAUACCCGUUUGCAUGUACUUUAUGAAUAAGGAUCGGCUAACUCCGUGCCAGCAGCCGCGGUAAUACGGAGGAUCCGAGCGUUAUCCGGAUUUAUUGGGUUUAAAGGGAGCGUAGAUGGAUGUUUAAGUCAGUUGUGAAAGUUUGCGGCUCAACCGUAAAAUUGCAGUUGAUACUGGAUAUCUUGAGUGCAGUUGAGGCAGGCGGAAUUCGUGGUGUAGCGGUGAAAUGCUUAGAUAUCACGAAGAACUCCGAUUGCGAAGGCAGCCUGCUAAGCUGCAACUGACAUUGAGGCUCGAAAGUGUGGGUAUCAAACAGGAUUAGAUACCCUGGUAGUCCACACGGUAAACGAUGAAUACUCGCUGUUUGCGAUAUACAGCAAGCGGCCAAGCGAAAGCGUUAAGUAUUCCACCUGGGGAGUACGCCGGCAACGGUGAAACUCAAAGGAAUUGACGGGGGCCCGCACAAGCGGAGGAACAUGUGGUUUAAUUCGAUGAUACGCGAGGAACCUUACCCGGGCUUAAAUUGCAGAUGAAUUACGGUGAAAGCCGUAAGCCGCAAGGCAUCUGUGAAGGUGCUGCAUGGUUGUCGUCAGCUCGUGCCGUGAGGUGUCGGCUUAAGUGCCAUAACGAGCGCAACCCUUGUUGUCAGUUACUAACAGGUCACGCUGAGGACUCUGACAAGACUGCCAUCGUAAGAUGUGAGGAAGGUGGGGAUGACGUCAAAUCAGCACGGCCCUUACGUCCGGGGCUACACACGUGUUACAAUGGGGGGUACAGAGGGCCGCUACCACGCGAGUGGAUGCCAAUCCCCAAAACCUCUCUCAGUUCGGACUGGAGUCUGCAACCCGACUCCACGAAGCUGGAUUCGCUA